rnacentral:lncRNA from 1 species
AACUGCCUCGAAAGCCUCGGAGGUCGCCGGAAACUGGGUAUUUUUUCAAAUGAGUAUAACUUCUUCAAUACUCAACGAAAUUGAGUGAAACAAAAAGGAAAGUUGUAGUACUUGACGAGACGAAGAGAUUGAUACCUACCUCGACUCCUAACUCGCCGGGGAUUCGCCGGAAAAUGCCUCGAAAGCUCCGGCCAAACUUUGAAACUUGUCGAUCUCCGUGUUCUUACGUCCAAAAACUUCCAACGAAGCACUCCGAGCAUCCUUGGGACUUCCUAAAGCUCACUAUGAGCUUGGUUUGGCCUAAAAACAACAACCAAUUCAAAGCUCAUGAACAGUACACAUUCACGGCAACUUUAGAAACUAGGGUUUUCGAAGUGAAACUUACUUGAAAUGGGUAUCAUCGUGAUCGUAUGGUCUUCAGGAGUACGAUGGCACUCUUAAAUCCGUCGUUGGUGGAAGUUUAGGGUGUUUUUUUUGUGGUGGUCUUGGUGGUUGCCGUGUGUUCGAGAGGGUGAGAGAGAGAGAUCUGAAAUGGAAGAAGAAGAGAGAGAAGGAAAGGUUACGGGUUUUAGGGAGUGCUUUGAGGUAUGAGGAUCCCACCUUAACCCAAACACAACAUUACAACCUAGUUUUAGUCCCUAACACAAAUUAACCAUAGUUUAGGAACUUUAAAUAAAACAAAUGUCAUCUCUUUACACACCUUAAUCUCGUUUAAGGUCAUUUUUGAAAUUUCACGUCCUCGGAAUGAAAAAUCCCGGGACGGGCUGUGACACCUAUCCCCUCCCC